GGCAACCUCCUCCAUCUGUUUUGUGCCUGCAUUUACAGGCAGCAGGCGAAACAUCACCUGGCAAAGCACACAGGAACUCAGAGGGGUGGGGAAAUCAUUGCUCUUCACUCACACCCACCCUGAGACCCUGGACAGUCCAUGGGCACGUCUGCAGGAACAGAUGGACUGGUAUGGCUGUCACACAAACCAAACAUGAUGGUUUAGGACAAGAGGAAAUGGCCUCAAGUUGUGCCAGGAGACGUUCAGCAAACUGCUGUGCUGCUGCACCAAUUUCUCCCUCUCUCUAUGAAGGAGAGUAAACAAGACUUAAUCAUGUCACUGAAGGUGCUGUGAACUGUCCAAGACCUGGAAAUCUCAGAGUGUAACAUCCAGCCCCAGAAGGAAAUAUUACUAUGCAUGAUGAGGACAAGUCCUUUCCCUUUUGCAGCUUUCAGUGAGGCAGAAGGUGGAACCUUCACCUGCCAGAGGGGUCAGCAUAGCAAAGAGGCAAAUCCCUCUUCCCACCUGGUGGAAAACUGCCCCAGGGGAUCCUCCCAGGAUCCAAUUGCUGAUCUGGGGAACAUCACUUUAGGCCAGUGUAUUUCAUUUCCAGUCCUCUGGGAUUCCAGAUGAACAAUCAAAGGGGUGAAAAGGGAAGCUCCACCCAGGUUUGUAUUUUGCAGGAUGAGGCUGACAGUGGAACUGCCCGAGGUGCAGUGAGGGCAGAUACAGAGCCCACAUGAGCCCUGAGUUUUGAUUAAUUACCUCAGCAGAAUUUUCUUUCUCUUGCCAUUGAAUUAACUGCAUGCAGUGGAUGGAGGAGAUGCUCUUGGCCAAGAAGGAAUGUGAGAAAGAACCCCCCUACCCCCCCAGCCUGCAAACUCCUCUCCUACUGGAAAAACCUUUGCAAAAAAUCAUUUUUGAAGGGAUCUGCCAAAUGAGUUUUAAGCAAUAAUUAGCUGGGGAUGGGCUAUGAAGAUGCAGAAGUGGCAUUGAAAGGAGAAAUUAUUCACUCCACCACCUCUCGGAGCAAUGCUGUCCUGGUGUGGGAGGAGAGGAGAAAGCACCAAGAACCCACUUACCAAACCUCACUGUAAGGAGUUACUCAGAGGAAAUUUUUAAAUUGCCACCCACACAAAUUCAAACCCCUGUGACUCACUGCCACAGAGAAUGAGAUCAGCCUUAAAGCAACCAGAACUUGAACACAAAAAGGUUGUCUCCUAAGUUCUUCAUUCAUAAAUGGCACCUCUUCCAGAUUUUCUUACCUACUGCAAGAGGUAGAAAUGUUCUGAUUUAUUUACUUCUUUACUUCUCUCAGGAAACAAGGCUCUCAGGAGAUCCCAUGGCUCUUAGAGCCAAGGAUUUCUGGAUGAACAACGAUUCUCAACAUACAAGAAGAAUCCCAGAGCUGGCAGAGGCCUUGUGUCGUAGGACCAUGGGUGGGAACGAGAGCUCUGGGGUGUGAUCAGCUCCAUCUCAGGAUGCUUUACUCAUUCCUGGCUCUCAUCCCACUGCUCCAUUCCCAGCUCAAACUGAUGGUGGAGGACAGAGAAAGGAUUUAACACCUGAAUCAACCUCUUACCAGCUGCUGUUGUAGAGCAGGAUCAGGCAAUGAAUCAUGGACCCCUCUAGAUUUUGGACAAGAAAAGAAUUCCCGGAGGGAUUCUAAAGCUCAACUUCAAGUUUAGGGUCUCUCAAUCCUUGCAUUGUUGCUUGGGUUGUAGGUUUGGGGGUUUUUUUAUAUUACCCCUUUGGGCUCAGGGUUCUAAUUACUUUUCAUUCCUUUUUUCUUUAAUGAUAAUAUUUGAGUGACAGAUCUUUUAUUAAAACGUUGUUUUCAGAAAGCAUCUAGGAGUGGGCAGGGCUAGAGCUCUACUCAGGGUUUCCAUGCCUCAGGGAAGCUCUUCCUGGCUCUCACCUGGCCUCUGAAGAACAGAGGUUUGGUGUGCAGGUUUGGGGGAAGAGACUGAAAGACAUAGUUGUCCCAAAAGUUUGGUAAGAAAAUGAAUGUCCAUCACACUAGAGAGGGAAGAGGUGAGGCAAAGGAGAGAUCCUUCAAAAGCUUCUUCCCAUCCCUUCUCCCUGACAGGAGAGCUGUGAUCAAGAAGGACAUGGCGUGGGCAGCUGAUGCUGUAUUCACCUUAUUCCUUGUCCAUGUGGUGACCACCCACAUAGCAAAGAGCUGUGUCCUCUCCUCCUGAUCCCAUGCUCCAGGCACCUGACCAAACCUGGGGGUGGUCAUGUCUUGGAGCUUUCUUUUGGAGCAUGGCUUUGCAGGAGUCAUUUUUCCAUGUUUCCUUCUCUCCUUCUGCUUUAUCCACUGAGUCCCUAGGAUAAGAAACCUGCAGUGGUCCAUUGCUCCUGAUACGUUUGUGCCAUUAUCUUCUGACACAGACAUUGCACAGAAAAAUCUGUGGAGUAUAUUCCAUGGGAGGUCAAAUCACUUGCUCAUGGAUCUGAAGCAAAAUGAGGUUUUACCCAUCAAUCCCUUUUUUUUUCCUGCUGCUAAGUGCAUAAUUCUUUCAUUUUCCUUGAAAGAUCAUCCUAACAUGAGACUUGAAGCACUGGGCCCAGAACCUGAAACAAUUCUGCUUAAAAAAGGUCUUACCUGAGGUUGUUACUGGGUUGCUGCAUGUCUUCUCCAGCCUCUCUCAUCUUCCAUGGCAUAUUCUGGCUGCAAUUUCCAAGAAACUGUUCAAGAAGUAUCUAUCCACUGUUCCCAGCUGGCCUCGCCCAGGGCUUUUGGGAUGGUGAGAUCAAGUGCCUAACACCAACUGCACUGUGCCAGAGCACACGCUUGACAUGGCCCCACUUUCCAGCCCUCCCAGACUGAUGAGGUUUCUGCCCAGAUAAGCCAAUAUACACCCAAUGGCUGUGGGAAAAGGUUAAAAAAAACCCCUAAUUUGCACCUCUUGCCUACUCAUGAAGCAAUUACAGUUAUUUAAUGGAUUAAAUGAACCUGAAAGCCACAAGGAGCCCCUGUGAAAAGGGAGCAGACAGCACUUCACAGCUGGAGGUAUUUGGUGGGUCAGGUUUUGGCAGAGGGCAUCACCAGCAUCCAGAGUUGGCUGUGCCAUCCCUCUACUUCUCUUCUGCUGGAGCAGAAGAAGAUUGGAAAGGGGGGAACUUCUGAUUUUUUGAUUCUGCUGCUAUGAGUCUCACUUUUCCUGAAAGUGGAUGCAGGGUCUGAUUGAGGCAUGGAGCUAAGCCCCUUUCCUAGAGGCCACCUAUCUUUCAGGAGACCGUUUUUUUGGGAAGCCAAUGUGCAUCCUCUGCGAUGAAAGAUACGAGAAGAAAAAUUCCACCUGACAUGCAAGGACCUUGCUAAAGUCCUGAGGCCAUGUCUGCCCUGUCGCCAUGCCAGAAGUGCCAAGCAUCAGCUCCAUCCCGCUUUUCUUGCUCUUAAGUGUGUGUUUUCAAAUUUUGUGUUUUCAAACCAAAAAUUAUUAUCAGGGCUUUUACUUCCUAUUUUGCUUUGCUGGGUCACCUCUGUUUAUUGCUUAUUCCCGUGUUCAUAUCUGCUCCCAAGCAUCUGGGGACAGGCUCUGGAAGUGGGGAGCUCUGGACAGGCAGGAUGUGCCACUGCCUGUCGAGACUCUACCUGAGACCCCAGAUGGUGGGAAAAAUUCAGCCAAAACACCCAAUUUCCUGUAAAGCUCCUUUAUUAUCAUUAUUAUUGUUACUACUACUAUUAAUAUUCCUUUUGGUAAUACUGUUGUUAUCUUGUACUGAAAUACCCACUUUAGGAUUUUUUCCCAACAGAAACACUAUGUCUAUUUUUGAGGGGAACCAGUGGACUAAGCAAGCAAUGAGGGGAAAACCACCUAAAAAUUUCAGAGUGGGGUGAAGCAGUUGAAUGGGAAGGAGCCUGGGAAUGACCUGGGAGCAAAAUGAUACAAAGGUGCUUAGCCUGGAGGCUUUGAACUUGAGUGAGAGAUGUCAGGGGAGAAAUACAAAAGAGGGGGAGAAAAAAAAAAUGAAAAGUACUUUUCCUGUACCCUUGUUAACCCAUAAAACCAGAGAAGAUACAUGUACACCACAUGUGCCAACGAAAAGGGGAGGAGAGAAAAAUUGACAGCAUCGCCAGCUCGAUGAGAUCUUCAGUGAAAAAACAAAUGACCUUUUGUGCUGUCUGGGGAGAAACUCUUCCAUCAUCUUUAUGAAUUUCCACCUUUGGCAACAGCUAAAUAGCCUUGCAUAUCUACCAUCAAGACACUAACAGCCAUGCCAUAAAUCUUAACCCCGAACUAUCGUUAUUUGCUGGAGAAAAUGAAUGGUUUUCUCUGCACAUGAAAAAAAAAGAGCGAAGCUUCUGACAGAGGAGACCCUUUCAGGCUGAGCAUCCUCCCGGGCUCUCUCCUACUUGUUGGUGGGAUGAACACUUCUUGCAUUCUCAGCUCUUAGAAUUAUCCAUGGAAAUGUGCUAUUUUCUAUCUCUUAAAACUGUUAUUAUCUUGAUAUUAUCUGUUGCUUGCAACAGUGAGUCAGGUUGGGAAACACUGGGCGGUCAAGUCUCAGCCAUUCAUCUGCAAAACAGAGUUAAGGGAUAAUUAGAGAUUGUUGGGGUCCCAUAAAUAACAAUAAUUGGGGUUAAACACAUUGAUACAGUCAGAAAAGGUGCUCAGAGCUUUUGCCUUCCCCCUCCUGUGCCUCAUGGAGGACACAGUCCAGGUGGAGGUGGGAGCCAGUCCCCGGUGCUGGCUUAGGGGCAGCUGGAAUGUGAUUUAAUUCCUCUCCUCUCAUUACCACUUCCUGAGCGCGGUGCCUGUGAGCCCUGAGGGACAUCAGGGGAUGAGGGAAAACAUUAGUUUCUUAACAAAUUCUUGUGUCAUCUUCUUGACAGCACCUUUAAACGCUGGAUGACACUCAAGAAUGAUGUGGCUUAACCUCAAGAGUUCAAGCGAGGGAGCAUUUCCCUUUGCCAAGGAGCAGCAGUUGUGGCUGGAGGAGAGAUCCAGGACAGCCCUCCCUGCCAGCAGCCACCGAGAGCUUCACCCGCAUGGCAGGGACACAUCUGGGGCUCCUGUGCCACCUACACAGGGCAGCUGUGCUGCCUCUGAGGUACCACUGAUUUUGGAGGAGUGUCAGCAUCUUGGUCUCAAUGAGCUUUUCCAACCUUAAUGAUUCCCUGAUUUUCUAUGUAUGGAUGAAAGGGAUAUCCUACAUUCCCCAAAAUGAGUACCUUUGCACUGAGGUGACAUGAUGGACUGUGGACACUCCCUUAACCUCCUGCAAAUGGGAAAGGAAAGGGGUUAAAGCACAGGGAAGGUGAGAUAAGUGGAGGGACUCCAGGGUACUGGCAUUCCAGUGGGAUGGAGGCUGGCAUGCUGGAGGAGUUGGAUGCAAAGGAUUUCCCCAGCACUCCCUUUACAUACUUACCUGGAAAUUAAUAAAACACCACUGUACUAUUAAAUCUCAGGGAUUAAAGGUUUAACAUGACCAAGCAGAAGAAGCCUGGAAAGCAGUAAUUAAUGUUUAUAUGUGGUUUCUAUCUUCUCUUCCAUUUUUCUUUCACCCUUUGUCUGCCUCAAAAGAUAAUAGAUGGGAAUAGCUUCUUCUGCCAAGGACAGGCUUCACCAGUUAAGACUCUUCUUUUUCGACUCCAAAAUGUUUGUAACAAUUCAGUUCACAGGCUCGUGAUUCAUGGGGCUUUCCCAGUGUUUAUCUGCAAUUACAGGUCCCAUUGUUCCCCAGCACUGGCCUUUCUUGUAGGUUAUAUUUUCCACAUGAUGAUUUCCAGCCCUGUCCCUCAGUCUGGGAAACCCAUGACAUUGCUGCCUCCACUGCUGGAGCACUGUCUUCUCCCCCUCCCACUCCAAAACAGAAAGAUAAAGAACUUCCCAUGGAUGUGGCAUCAAGAGCUGCAACUUGCCACCCUUGGUGGCUCUUUAGGAGCUGCUGUGUGUGACCCUGACCUUUCUUGGGAACAUCUCCAGAUCAAGAUUAUUCCUUGUUCAUGGGAUGAGCCUCUUGCAGGGAAGACUGAAGGUGACACAUAAUCCCCAGCCAGAUGCUCAGAAGGUAUAAAUGGCUUCCCACUGAUUAUGUCAACUGAAAAUACAACUUGACCACAUUUCUUGGUUCCUGUACAGUCCUGUGCUGCUCUUGAACCCAGGAAUUCUAGCUAAGCAAAAAUUUCAAGUUACUGCAACAGGGGAAAAGAAUGAGACUGUUCCCUUCUCCUGCCCCAAUGGAAUGCAGAUUACCAACUCAAUUAAAGAAAACCCCAAACAGUCCAGAAAGAAAAACCCCUGCCCCUAGGUAUGCAUUCCCUAUCAGACUUACACUUGGAUAAACAUUUCUGGGUCCUGAAGAAAUUUGAACCACAGAAUAGUCUGAGUUGGAAGAGGGCCCACAAAGAUCAUCAAAUCCAACUCUGAAGCAAAUAGGCCAUACUGGCGUUGAACCUGCAGCCUUGGCAUUAUUAGCACAGUGCUCUAACCAGCUGGGCUAAUGAACUUCAUAAACCUGUCAGUGUUCCAGUUGGAAACUCCAGGCCUUGGGUGCUGGGAAUGCUGGUGUUUUCUUGCAACUGGGUGUUGCAAGAAAAUGAAAUGAUAAAUAAAUCUGGGUUUUUUUUCUGGAAACAUCAGAAUGGGGCAAGCUACAAACCCCAGUAAUAACAGAGGCUUCCUUCUCUGCAUUUUCCAUCAUUCUAGUCUGCCCUGCCUACAGAUGUCUGUCCAUUCCCUCUUUUCCUCCUGUUGUUGUUCCUGAAAACCUGAUGGAGAUGGGCCAUGAUGGGGGCUGAAGAUGAGAGCUCUGUGCUGUCCAUUCCUCAUCCUUGGUGGAUUCACAUAUGGUGACACCAUGUCACAGGCCCAAAAUGCUCCUUGCCUGUGAUUUGGGCAAUCCUGCUGCCUCUAUUUAUAAAGCAAGAUUGCCAGGGAGGCACACCCCAAACAAGCAUGAUGGCAAGACAGGAUUAAGGGUCUCUCAUUGCAGCAAUUCCAGGCUAUUCUGCAGGAAAGAGGAAUUGUGGAUCCCCUACCACAAGCAGAUGGGGGCUUGGGACUGACCACAGACCCAGCUGAGAGCAUCCAUUGGGUCCCAGGAAUUAUCCCAUCCUUUUCCUGAAGAGUCGUUGUUAUCCCAGCAGUGCCAGGCUGGGAGGAAACGUAACACCAUGAGGGGGAACCACUGUGAUCCUUGCUUCUCAUCUUCCUUAGAAUACAAGCACAAAAUUAAUUUUAUCCCAAGGAAGUCUCUUAAGAAGAGAAAUUUACCCUGGAUAUCAAUAUUUCCAGUAAUGGAAACUCCACCAUAGCUCAGGCACAUUCUCCAUGCUCAAUUAGCCGCACUGUUAAAACGUCUCCCCGAUGUCUCCAUUAUCCCUCCACUCCAUUAGGGAAAAUCCAGUAGAUUUAAAAAUGAGAUGCAUGUCAUUUCAGAUUUUAUUCAAAAAACCAAAAAAAGUAUAAUGUUCAUUAGGAAAAAACCCCGUCCUCAAAGACACGACUCUGCAGAGGCUGUGACUGCAGCUCUUUGUUUCUGAUUGGAGCCCAAGAGCUGAUGAACUCUCUGACAGUACAAGUGCCCCUCUUGAAGGGGAUUUGGCACAGCCCAGCCCUGUGAUAAAAGGCUUUGUACAGCCUCAGUCAUGUUCAUG